rnacentral:rRNA from 1 species
UACGUAGGGUGCGAGCGUUGUCCGGAAUUACUGGGCGUAAAGAGCUCGUAGGUGGUUCGUCGCGUUGUUCGUGAAAACUCACAGCUUAACUGUGGGCGUGCGGGCGAUACGGGCAGACUGGAGUACUGCAGGGGAGACUGGAAUUCCUGGUGUAGCGGUGGAAUGCGCAGAUAUCAGGAGGAACACCGGUGGCGAAGGCGGGUCUCUGGGCAGUAACUGACGCUGAGGAGCGAAAGCGUGGGGGAGCGAACAGG